rnacentral:rRNA from 1 species
UACGUAGGGGGCUAGCGUUGUCCGGAAUCAUUGGGCGUAAAGCGCGUGUAGGCGGUCCGGCAAGUCCGCUGUGAAAGUCGGGGGCUCAACCCUCGGAUGCCGGUGGAUACUGUCGGGCUUGAGUACGGAAGAGGCGAGUGGAAUUCCUGGUGUAGCGGUGAAAUGCGCAGAUAUCAGGAGGAACACCAAUGGCGAAGGCAGCUCGCUGGGACGUGACUGACGCUGAGACGCGAAAGCGUGGGGAGCGAACAGG